GACCUCGGUAGCUUAGCGGUCAAAAGCAGUGGGGCGUAAACCCAAAGACACUGGGUUCGAAUCCCAGUCGAGUUCA